UAGCAAUGUCCUGUAAUGUUUUGGAAGUCUCUUGGACAACCCUGACCAACAAUUCAAAUGAAGGCUUCACAUGCUUGGUGUUAGGGCUUCUGUUAGAUGGUCUUUGGUUAGAUGGUCACCUAGGACAUCUAUUUAAACUGUAUAUGUAUAUUUAUAUAUUGACCUACGUGUAUUUUAAAAAAGUUUUAGGUAGUUAAUAGUAUGAUUCCUUUCCUUACACUUCUAGACGCCAUCAGUAUUAUUUUAUUCUCUUCCCUUCUUCUGUAUUUAUUUUCUUCCCUCCUCCCUAAUUAAAGCAUUCCUGUUUCCUUCCCAUUUCAUCAUCAGGCCAAUUCUACCUUGCUAUCCCCCUCUCUAUGACUCCUCCUCACACCCCAGGAAUGGCCCCUACUUACUUUCCUGGUUUCUGUAGUUACUUUAGACUAUGGACUCAUAUCUGAAGAGUGGAGCUAGGAGCCUUAGAUGAGAGAGAACACAGCUGCUGCCCCUGACCAGAUGAUUGGAGUCUGCGUUGUCUUAACUAUCAGUUCCGAAGACUCAAGACCUGGUGUCUUUUCUUGGGUAUCAGUUCCCUGGAGACUCUGAAUUUCCAGUAAUAGCAACCAAGAUGGCAGCAGCCGGAGUUGGUUGCAGUCAAGUCUGGGACAGAUUUGAUUUUUUUUUCUCUCAGUCUAAUUAUUAACCACCUUCCGGAAAAUAGAGGGCGGUUGUUCCCAUGGUAACAAAAGCCUCAUGGCCAGAAAGCAUUCAGUACCCUGACAUUUAUAGCCGGCUCUGCACUGUGCCAACUUGCUGAUGCAGGAAGCCAGGAAUCAGAACCCAAAGUGUCUUCCUGGAAGGAAAAUUUUACUUUCCAGUUUUUCUUUCUUCAAGGUUCUUCUAAAGGAUUCUAUCUAAUGCUGUCUUAUUUGUCUUCCAGCCCCACCGACCCGAGACCCCUUCCCCUACAUCCUGGUGUCUGCACAUUUCCAGAGCUACCCACAUUCUCCAUGCAUCAUCCUGUGCUCAUCUUGUUAUCUGCUGCACUUGGUCCUCUAGUCCUGAAGAACAAGCCAUGGUGCUGGAGGGCCUCCAGGCCAUGGGGAUGCUGCAUUUAACCCAGCUCAUGGGAUAACAGGGAUAGAAACCACCAUCGCUCGUUUGUUUCUGCAGUUUCUUUUACACCAGAAGUGUGCUGUUGUGAGGUUCUUGCUAGGAUCAGCCCAAGACACUUAUCCCAACUAUGCAUCGCUUCGUAUUUGCCUGCCCUUCUUUCCAUCUCAACAACUUGUACAGCAGAGCACAUCACCACAUCUGGCUGCUUCUGCUCUAAUGGUGCUAAUCUGGGGCACGAGGUUCAUGGGAGAGCUGCAGAGACCAAGCAUCAGAAAACGGCUUUGAAGUUUCCCAAGGAGGAAAGACAUUCUAUAAAGAGAAGGGCCCAUGAUUGCUUCCUGACUUCAGUGCGUUAGCAAUGGUCUGCUGAAUUUUGGAGAGCAGCAGUGGACUUCACAUUUAAUUGUUUUGAUUCCUUUUUAAUAAUAAUAAAAAAACCCUUCUUAGUUGACUGUGAUUGGAAAAACAAGCUAAAAACAAUAGGAAUGAAUCCCAAAGCUGCUCAAAUAUCUGUCUGUAAAUCAGAUGUUAAAUAAAGGCACCAAAAAGAAAAGUCCUCAAACUUUGUUAUAACGUGCAAUAGAAGUUUAAGACUAUUAAAUUUACUGAAAUGCAUUUUAAUAUAUGCUUAGAAUUUGUUUGCAUCUCCCUGUUCUAUUUUCAAAUAUGCCUAAAGGCAGGCAUUGCUUAUUUUAAAUUCACCUUAAAUCCACCCUCCAACUUUCACCCAUCUCCCUUGGUCCUGUAUCCUCCUCCCAGUCUUUCUCUCCCUAAUAUUGGCUUCUCUGUGUGUGUGUCUUUGUGGGGAAUAGCUCUCUUCUCCCAAUCACACAAAUAACAUAGUUAUUUUUACUUUUGCUGGCAGCAGUCACAAUCACAAGCAGAUAUAAGUAUGUGUGUGCAUGUGUGAGUGCAUUGGUGUGCUUAGGUGUGAGCAUGUCUGGGGAUGCCAGAGAUCAAUGUCAAGUGUUUUUCUCAGUUUCUGUCCGUUUUGUUUCCCUGAGAUUGAGUCUUUCAGUAGACCCAGAGCUCACCGAUCCAACUACACUGACUGGCCAGUGGCCUUCUGGGAUCCUCCUGUCUCUGCCUCCCCGGUACUGAGAUUAUAAGUAAGUACUGUUGCACCCACUCUUUGAUGUGGAUUUUGGGGAUUGAACUCAGGUCAUUGG
rnacentral:sRNA from 1 species